UACGUAGGGGGCUAGCGUUGUCCGGAUUUAUUGGGCGUAAAGAGCGUGUAGGCGGCCAGGUAGGUCCGUUGUGAAAACUAGAGGCUCAACCUCUAGACGUCGACCGAAACCACUUGGCUAGAGUCCGGAAGAGGAGAGUGGAAUUCCUGGUGUAGCGGUGAAAUGCGCAGAUAUCAGGAAGAACACCCGUGGCGAAGGCGGCUCUCUGGGACGGUACUGACGCUGAGACGCGAAAGCGUGGGGAGCGAACAGG
rnacentral:rRNA from 1 species